rnacentral:rRNA from 1 species
UUAAGCGACCAAGCGUACACGGUGGAUGCCCUGGCAGUCAGAGGCGAUGAAGGACGUGCUAAUCUGCGAAAAGCGCCGGUAAGGUGAUAUGAACCGUUAUAACCGGCGAUGUCCGAAUGGGGAAACCCAGUGUGACUCGUCACACUAUCAUUAACUGAAUCCAUAGGUUAAUGAGGCGAACCGGGGGAACUGAAACAUCUAAGUACCCCGAGGAAAAGAAAUCAACCGAGAUUCCCCCAGUAGCGGCGAGCGAACGGGGAGCAGCCCAGAGCCUGAAUCAGCAUAUGUGUUAGUGGAAGCGUCUGGAAAGGCGCGCGAUACAGGGUGACAGCCCCGUACACAAAAGCGCAUGUGCUGUGAGCUCGAUGAGUAGGGCGGGACACGUGGUAUCCUGUCUGAAUAUGGGGGGGACCAUCCUCCAAGGCUAAAUACUCCUGACUGACCGAUAGUGAACCAGUACCGUGAGGGAAAGGCGAAAAGAACCCCGGCGAGGGGAGUGAAACAGAACCUGAAACCGUGUACGUACAAGCAGUGGGAGCCCCACCACUAAGCCAGUGGUGAACUCCACAUACGCAUCCUUUGCGGAAGAUGCGGUUAACGGAGCGAAAGCGACGUUCAACCUAAAAAGAAGCAGAGGGGGCUUAGUGGUGGGGUGACUGCGUACCUUUUGUAUAAUGGGUCAGCGACUUAUAUUCUGUAGCAAGGUUAACCGAAUAGGGGAGCCGGAGGGAAACCGAGUCUUAAUUGGGCGUUAAGUUGCAGGGUAUAGACCCGAAACCCGGUGAUCUAGCCAUGGGCAGGUUGAAGGUUGGGUAACACUAACUGGAGGACCGAACCGACUAAUGUUGAAAAAUUAGCGGAUGACCUGUGGCUGGGGGUGAAAGGCCAAUCAAACCGGGAGAUAGCUGGUUCUCCCCGAAAGCUAUUUAGGUAGCGCCUCGUGAAUUCAUCUCCGGGGGUAGAGCACUGUUUCGGCCAGGGGGCCAUCCCGGCUUACCAACCCGAUGCAAACUGCGAAUACCGGAGAAUGUUAUCACGGGAGACACACGGCGGGUGCUAACGUCCGUCGUGAAGAGGGAAACAACCCAGACCGCCAGCUAAGGUCCCAAAGUCAUGGUUAAGUGGGAAACGAUGUGGGAAGGCCCAGACAGCCAGGAUGUUGGCUUAGAAGCAGCCAUCAUUUAAAGAAAGCGUAAUAGCUCACUGGUCGAGUCGGCCUGCGCGGAAGAUGUAACGGGGCUAAACCAUGCACCGAAGCUGCGGCAGCGACACUGUGUGUCGUUGGGUAGGGGAGCGUUCUGUAAGCCUGCGAAGGUGGCCUGUGAGGGUUGCUGGAGGUAUCAGAAGUGCGAAUGCUGACAUAAGUAACGAUAAUGCGGGUGAAAAACCCGCACGCCGGAAGACCAAGGGUUCCUGUCCAACGUUAAUCGGGGCAGGGUGAGUCGACCCCUAAGGCGAGGCCGAAAGGCGUAGUCGAUGGGAAACGGGUUAAUAUUCCCGUACCUGGUGUUACUGCGAAGGGGGGACGGAGAAGGCUAUGUUGGCCGGGCGACGGUUGUCCCGGUUUAAGCGUGCAGGCUGGUUUUCCAGGCAAAUCCGGAAAAUCAAGGCUGAGGCGUGAUGACGAGGCACUACGGUGCUGAAGCAACAAAUGCCCUGCUUCCAGGAAAAGCCUCUAAGCCUCAGGUAACAUCAGAUCGUACCCGAAACCGACACAGGUGGUCAGGUAGAGAAUACCAAGGCGCUUGAGAGAACCCGGGUGAAGGAACUAGGCAAAAUGGUGCCGUAACUUCGGGAGAAGGCACGCUGACAUGUAAGUGAAGCGGUUUACCCGUGGAGCUGAAGUCAGUCGAAGAUACCAGCUGGCUGCAACUGUUUAUUAAAAACACAGCACUGUGCAAACACGAAAGUGGACGUAUACGGUGUGACGCCUGCCCGGUGCCGGAAGGUUAAUUGAUGGGGUCAGCGCAAGCGAAGCUCCUGAUCGAAGCCCCGGUAAACGGCGGCCGUAACUAUAACGGUCCUAAGGUAGCGAAAUUCCUUGUCGGGUAAGUUCCGACCUGCACGAAUGGCGUAAUGAUGGCCAGGCUGUCUCCACCCGGGACUCAGUGAAAUUGAACUCGCUGUGAAGAUGCAGUGUACCCGCGGCAAGACGGAAAGACCCCGUGAACCUUUACUAUAGCUUGACACUGAACACUGGUCCUUGAUGUGCAGGAUAGGUGGGAGGCUUUGAAGUGUGGACGCCAGUCUGCAUGGAGCCGUCCUUGAAAUACCACCCUUUAAUGGCUGGUGUUCUAACGUAGACCCGUGAACCGGGUUGCGGACAGUGUCUGGUGGGUAGUUUGACUGGGGCGGUCUCCUCCUAAAGCGUAACGGAGGAGCACGAAGGUUGGCUAAUCCUGGUCGGACAUCAGGAGGUUAGUGCAAUGGCAUAAGCCAGCUUGACUGCGAGCGUGACGGCGCGAGCAGGUGCGAAAGCAGGUCAUAGUGAUCCGGUGGUUCUGAAUGGAAGGGCCAUCGCUCAACGGAUAAAAGGUACUCCGGGGAUAACAGGCUGAUACCGCCCAAGAGUUCAUAUCGACGGCGGUGUUUGGCACCUCGAUGUCGGCUCAUCACAUCCUGGGGCUGAAGUAGGUCCCAAGGGUAUGGCUGUUCGCCAUUUAAAGUGGUACGCGAGCUGGGUUUAGAACGUCGUGAGACAGUUCGGUCCCUAUCUGCCGUGGGCGCUGGAGAACUGAGGGGGGCUGCUCCUAGUACGAGAGGACCGGAGUGGACGCAUCACUGGUGUUCGGGUUGUCAUGCCAAUGGCACUGCCCGGUAGCUAAAUGCGGAAGAGAUAAGUGCUGAAAGCAUCUAAGCACGAAACUUGCCCCGAGAUGAGUUCUCCCUGAGACUACAAGUCUCCUGAAGGAACGUUGAAGACGACGACGUUGAUAGGCCGGGUGUGUAAGCGCAGCGAUGCGUUGAGCUAACCGGUACUAAUGAACCGUGAGGCUUAACCUU